GACAGAGGUGCCAAGCGUUAGGCGGAAUCACUGGGCUUAAAGCGUGUGUAGGUGGAAGGGUAAGUACCUUGUGAAAUCCCACGGCUUAACCGUGGAACUGCUUGGUAUACUGCUUUUCUUGAGCCAACUAGGGGUUACCGGAACAAAUGGUGGAGCGGUGAAAUGCGUAGAUAUCAGGAGGAACACCGGUGGUGUAGACGGCUUUCUGGACCGUAACUGACGCUGAGACACGAAAGCGUGGGUAGCAAACAGG
rnacentral:rRNA from 1 species